AACGAGCAGAUACUGAGUGUGCUGAAACCCCUGCUGAACCACACACACACACACACACACACACACACACACACCUUGCAAAACAACUCCCAUAGUCUCAUCUCCACUCCUCUUAUUUGAACUAUGCAAGACUACCACUCGUAUCCUCCCUUUCCUUCUCAUUCACUUAUACUCAGUUACCUUACAUAAUACAACAGCAAUAUUAUCACCCCUUCCUCCCUUCCCUGCCAUAAGCACCCCCUUCCCAUCCCUCCCAUCACUCUUUCUCAAAUCCCUACCAAACGAAUACCUUCCCAUUCUUCCUCAUAACCCUUUCCUCCCUUCCCUACCUAACGACACCAUUCCCUUCCAUCCCCCUUUUCUCUCUGUUUCGUCUCCCAUUUCAACAUUGCAUCACUAGUACUCAUAAUCUUCCCUUUCCUUCCAUUUCAGCAGUAUUUAGUAAGUUUGCAUAUCACUACUAUAAUAUUAUCCUUCCUCUCAUAUGUUCCCAGUCAUCGGUGCAACACAACCUAUAUUCAGAGGUUAUAUCAACACUUAAAUAAUAUUACCCUACGGUGCAACACAAAAUCCCCGAACUCUACACAACACUUUCACUGAGCAACAACAAGUCCCCCUUCCCCUAACUCUGCACAACACUCUCAUUGAGUAACAACGAAACCCCCUCACAUUCCUGGUUGGAUCCCCAUGAAUGUUUUCCUAGCUGGUGUUAAUGUCUGAGUGUUCGCAUGCUCGUACAGACACACACAUAUAGGGUUGAAAUAAAAGGAGUUAGCCAGAAAAGCCUAUCUUAAGUACCCUUUCCGCUAUCUCCAGUUACCAGAGUAGAAUAAGAAUAGGAAGCUGCCCCAAAACAAAGAUAUAUGAAUACGAGCAGAAUAACAAUAGGAGCCUAACCAAACGAGGAAACAUGUAGAGUUAUGUCACUACCCAGAACAUCACCUUUUGAAUAUACGAUCUUGAGAAUUAGUUGGGAGAAAAGGAGUUACUGAAACUAGCCUAUUAAGUAACCUUUCCACUAUCUCCAGUUACCAAGAAAAAAUUAAGCAAGAAUUGAUAAGAAGAGUUAUGUUACAACCCAAAACAUCACCUUUUGAAUAUAUGAUCUUGAGAAUUAGUUGGGAGAAAAGGAGUUACUGAAACUAGCCUAUUAAGUACCCUUUCCACUAUCUCCAAUUACCAAGAAAAAAAAUAAGCAAGAAAUGAUAAGAAGAGUGACGUUACUACCCAAAACAUCACCUUUUAAAUACAUGAUCUAGAGAAUUGGUUGAGAGAAAAGGAGUUACUGAGACUAGCCUAUUAAGUACCCUUUCCACUAUCUCCAGUUACCACGAAAUAAAUCAAGCAAGUGAUAUGAAGAGUUACGUUACUACCCAAAACAUCACCUUUUGCAUAUAAGAUCUGGAGAGUUAGUUGGAAGAAAAGGAGUUAGUGAGAAAAGCCUAUCUUCAGUACCUUCUCUGCUAUCUCCAGUUAUCAAUAAGAGUAACAACAGUAGCCUACCCACAAGAACCAAUGAUAUGCAGAAUUCAAUCUUUUGCAAACAUGAUCAAGACAGUUAGUAGAAAUAAAAGGAGUUAGUGAGACAACCCUAUCUUCAGUACCUUCUCCGCUAUCUCCAGUUAUCAAUAAGAGUAACAACAGUAACCUAUCCACAAGAACCAAUGAUAUGCAGAAUUCAAUCUUUUGCAAACAUGAUCAAGACAGUUAGUAGAAAUAAAAGGAGUUAGUGAGACAAGCCUAUCUUCAGUACCUUCUCCGCUAUCUCCAGUUAUCAAUAAGAGUAACAACAGUAACCUAUCCACAAGAACCAAUGAUAUGUAAAAUUCAAUCUUUUGCAAACAUGAUUUAGACAAUUAGUAGAAAUAAAAGGAGUUAGUGAGACAACCCUAUCUUCAGUACCUUCUCCGCUAUAUCGCUACGAAUACGUGUAACAACAGUACCUAGCCUACCCACAAGAACCAAUAAGUAGAAAUCAAUCUUUUGCAUACAUGAUUUAGACAGUUAGUAGAAAUAAAAGAAGUUAGUGAGGCAAGCCUCUCUUCAGUACCCUCACCGCUAUAUCGCUACAAAUACGUGUAACAACAGUACCUAACCUACCCACAAGAAGCAAUAAUAAGUAGAAAUCAAUCUUUUGCAUACAUGAUUUAGACAGUUAGUAGAAAUAAAAGAAGUUAGUGAGACAACCCUAUCUGAAGCACCCUUUCCACUAUCUCGUUACCAGUACCAGCAACAACAAUAGCCUACCCACAAGGAGAGGUUACCCCGAUAGCGUUCUUGUCUAUAUCAGCGCAAGUUGUUCAGAAUUACCGUGUUUUUUGUGUUGUUUUCAAUGAUAGGUUGUCAGUCACGCCACGUAACCGGUAAUGAACUAGUUACUGAUCACAUGUAAUGGACGUGGAGUGAAGGUUUAAUCUGUCUGAAUUUAUAAGAGUAUAGCUUGAGACCAUUUACUUUUUUUUCUCUCGUUUUUUAAUCUUUCAGCUUCAGUGUUGCAUGUUAAUCACUGGCUUUUGGACACACACACACACACACACACACACAAACACAUUUCUGGCUUCACACUGUUACAUGACUAAGCGUGGUAGGAGAAAAUUCUCUCUCUCUCUCUCUCUCUCUCUCUCUCUCUCUCUCUCUCUCUGCAUUAUCAUUCCUUCCAUAGCCUUAACAUUUUCCACAAGCUGAACCAAAUGACAAAGUUUAAAAGGCGCCAGUCUUCAAUUAUGACAAAUAACAAUUGGUACUAAGGUUCUUACUCACCACAGGCUCAAGGGGUAAGGUUACGAAGACAGACACUAAGGCCACGCGCAGUUAGAAUAUGCUUUUUCACUGAUACUACCGCUAAUACUAAUGAGUUUUCUUUUCUUCCCUUCUAUAAUUUCAGGGCAGGAACCUCGAGCCUAAGCCUAACCCUGGGGGCCCCUGUAGGCUUGUCUCCCAGCGAUGACUUCAAAGAUAAGGGAUUCCAAGGUCCUCCAGAUGGUCUCCACAGAAACAAGAACAGAAGAUACACUCCUACACGGCACAGCAUUGUCUCGCAUUAUGGCAUAGCUACACAAAACUCAUAUAUAUACUCUGGGCAAAGAAAUUUAGGGAGACUAACGUUAAACAGAUGAUGAUGAUGAUGAUGGUGAUGAUGUGUCUACCUGGCCAAAAAGAUGCUGUAUGCUUGCGACUGUGAAACAAAUCCUUGAAGUUACCCGGAUGCUGCUGAUCUUUGUGCAAGGAUGAUAAAGAAAGAACUCAUAACCAAACUAAUAAUGCUAUAAGUUGAUGAAGGCAUGGCAAUACUUGAGUGGCAUUAUAGUGUACCCUGGCAACCACCAAGCCCACUAAUAACAUACAUUGAGAGAAAAGAAAUGGAAGUCUAAUUUAACAGUGAUAAAAAGCAAACCAUCUCAUACCUCAUACCUCUUCCCUCUCAUUUUCUCAUAAACAAAUAUUAACACAAGUUUCCUACAGAUUAGUGAAUUUCUACUGUAAUGUAAGAAAUCUGUUAAGAAGACAUUGAAGCCUGGAGUGCAGCAACAAAAACUUUAAUCAAUGUUUCUUAAUUUAAUGUAUAGUGUAAAGAAUCUGUUUACAAAGAGUUCAAGCAGAAGGUCAUCAUGGCCAAGACUACAAUUAACUAACUAACGUGGAGAACUUAUAUCAAUGUUUUCUUUUGCGGUAUAAUGUAAGAAAUAUGUUUUAAAGAGUUCAAGCAGAAGGUCGUUAUGGCCAACACUACAACUAACUAACUAACUUAUGUGGAGAACUUGUAUCGACGUUUUCUUUUCCUGUAUAAUGUAGUAAAGAUAUUUUAAAAAGGUCCUCAUAAGCAAACACCACAACUAACUUAUAUCGAUGUUUUCUUUUUCUGUAUAAUGUACGAAAGAUGUUUUAAAGAGUUCAAGCAGAAGGUCGUCAUAAGAAAACACUACAACUAACUAACGUGAAGAACUUCUAUUGAUGUUUUCUUUUACUGUAUAAUAUAAGAAAGAUGUAUUUAGGAGUUCAAGCAGAAGGUCCUCAUAAGUUACCCCUCUGUUCUAGCCACAUCCUCUACCCCGGUGACUCACAUUAGCAUACAGCCCCCAUCUCCUUAUAUCGAUGUUUUCUUUUAAUGUAUAAUGUAAGGUUUUAUAAAGAGUUCAAGCAGAAGGUCCUCAUAAGUUACCCCUCUGUUCUAGCCACAUCCUCUACCCCGGUGACUCACAAUAGCAUACAGCGCCCCAUCUCCCUAUAUCGAUGUUUUCUUUUACUGUAUAAUGUAAGGUUUAAAAGGGAGUUCAAGCAGAAGGUCUCUCAUAAGCCAGCUCUCUGUUCUCGCCACAUGCUCUACCCCGGUGACUAUUAGCAUACAGCGCCCAUCUCCAGCCCCAUAAUAUACGUAGCAGCACUUGUAUGAUAAUUAUCUCGCGUUAUUAUCUCUCUCGCCUCUGAACUUCGCCCUUUGCACACUAUUAUACUGUAUGAACUUUUCGACCUAACAAUAUAUCAGAUGCAGGGAUGAUAGUAGUAGCAGUAGUAGUAGUAGUAGUAGUAGUAGUAGUAGUAGUAGAAGUAGUAGUAGUGGUGGUAGUAGUAGUAAUCGAUUUGAGAGAGCUUCAUGAUUCUCUCUCUCUCUCUCUCUCUCUCUCUCUCACACACACACACACACACCAUCAAAGAGGAGCACAGUUUCACAAAUCCCAUGAGAGAGAGAGAGAGAGAGAGAGAGAGAGAGAGAGAGAGAGAGAGAGAGAGAGAGAGAGAGGGUGAAUGACCAGCCUGGAGGGAGAGGGACAAGUUGCAAGAGAUGGUUUGCAGGGGCGUGUCACUAGUUAAAUAACAGACACUCAGACCACACAACUAUACCAGGACAGAGAGAGAGAGAGAGGGAGACUGUACAGGCUUUCUAGAGCGAUA